CUUGGCCGCUCGGUCUGUCGUGUGAUGAAGCUUGCGGUUGCCGAGGAGGAGCGGCAGUCCCAGCUUGUUCUACGAAACACGGAAGAGAUGCGGAGAUACCGAGCACAAGGCGAAUCGCACCGCAAAACUUUAACCCUCUCAACACGUGGUCCGUCAAGGAAGCUACAAUUACUUCCUUUCGGAUUUGAGAGCAAAUUGUUAGGUAAGCCGUCACGUGGACACGUCGUUAUUUAUAAUGAGUCACGAAUAUGCAUCUGCGAUUGCGUGUACGUACCCGUAUCUUACAUAUUCAAUUUGCCAUGUUCUAUUUACGAGACAAGCAUAUGGAGACAAGACUCGUCAGAUAAAAC